rnacentral:rRNA from 1 species
CAGCAGCAGCCGCGGGAAUACGAAGGGUGCAAGCGUUAAUCGGAAUUACUGGGCGUAAAGCGUGCGUAGGCGGUUUGUUAAGUCUGCUGUGAAAUCCCCGGGCUCAACCUGGGAAUGGCAGUGGAUACUGGCAAGCUAGAGUGUGUCAGAGGAUGGUGGAAUUCCCGGUGUAGCGGUGAAAUGCGUAGAGAUCGGGAGGAACAUCAGUGGCGAAGGCGGCCAUCUGGGACAACACUGACGCUGAGGCACGAAAGCGUGGGGAGCAAACAGGAUUAGAUACCCCCGUAGUCCCUGUCUCUUAUAA